rnacentral:rRNA from 1 species
UUGGGAAUAUUGGACAAUGGAGGAAACUCUGAUCCAGUGACGCCGCGUGAAGGAAGAAGGUCUUCGGAUUGUAAACUUAUUUUAUCAGGGAAGAAGAAAGUGACAGUACCUGAAGAAAAAGGACCGGCAAACUACGUGCCAGCAGCCGCGGUAAUACGUAGGGUCCAAGCGUUAUCCGGAUUUACUGGGUGUAAAGGGCGAGUAGACGGCGCUGUAAGUCAGCUGUGAAAACUUAGGGCUCAACCUUAAGCCUGCAGCUGAAACUGUAGUGCUAGAGUGCAGGAGAGGUAAGCGGAAUUCCUAGUGUAGCGGUGAAAUGCGUAGAUAUUAGGAGGAACACCAGUGGCGAAGGCGGCUUACUGGACUGUAACUGACGUUGAGGCGCGAAAGUGUGGGGAGCAAACAGG